rnacentral:tRNA from 1 species
GGCUUUAUAUUUACAAAUGUAAUAUUAGAUUGCAAAUCUGAAGGGGUAUUAUUAUACUAAGGCUU